rnacentral:misc_RNA from 1 species
AAAUGCGAUAAGUAAUGUGAAUUGCAGAAUUCAGUGAAUCAUCGAAUCUUUGAACGCACAUUGCGCCCGCCAGUAUUCUGGCGGGCAUGCCUGUUCGAGCGUCAUUUCAACCAUCAAGCCCCGGCGCUUGUGUUGGGGACCCGCGGCUGCCGCGGGCCCUUAAAGACAGUGGCGGUCCUCGCUGCAGCACCGAGCGUAGUAGCUAUACACCUCGCCCUGGGAGCUGCGCGUGCGACCACGCUGUAAAACCCCCCACCUCUCACAAGGUUGACCUCGGAUCAGGUAGGAAUACCCGCUGAACUUAAGC